rnacentral:rRNA from 1 species
GACGAACGCUGGCGGCGUGCUUAACACAUGCAAGUCGAACGGAAAGGCCCUGCUUUUGUGGGGUGCUCGAGUGGCGAACGGGUGAGUACACGUGAGUAACCUGCCCUUGACUUUGGGAUAACUUCAGGAAACUGGGGCUAAUACCGGAUAGGAGCUCCUGCUGCAUGGUGGGGGUUGGAAAGUUUCGGAGGUUGGGGAUGGACUCGCGGCUUAUCAGCUUGUUGGUGGGGUAGUGGCUUACCAAGGCUUUGACGGGUAGCCGGCCUGAGAGGGUGACCGGCCACAUUGGGACUGAGAUACGGCCCAGACUCCUACGGGAGGCAGCAGUGGGGAAUAUUGCACAAUGGGCGGAAGCCUGAUGCAGCAACGCCGCGUGCGGGAUGACGGCCUUCGGGUUGUAAACCGCUUUCGCCUGUGACGAAGCGUGAGUGACGGUAAUGGGUAAAGAAGCACCGGCUAACUACGUG